UACGAAGGGGGCUAGCGUUGCUCGGAAUCACUGGGCGUAAAGCGCACGUAGGCGGAUUGUUAAGUCAGGGGUGAAAUCCUGGAGCUCAACUCCAGAACUGCCUUUGAUACUGACGGUCUUGAGUCCGGAAGAGGAGAGUGGAAUUCCUGGUGUAGCGGUGAAAUGCGCAGAUAUCAGGAAGAACACCCGUGGCGAAGGCGGCUCUCUGGGACGGUACUGACGCUGAGACGCGAAAGCGUGGGGAGCGAACAGG
rnacentral:rRNA from 1 species